UUAUUUUGAGUUUGAAUACUGUCUAGAUGACAAUAUUUAUAUUAAAACUCACAGCUUAUGUUGUAUAUUUAAGAUUGUAUUUGUAUUAUGUACCAUGUAUUUGGCGACUCAGAAUAGGUGAUGUAUACUUGUUUUGGGGGCAUCACAGUUGGUAUCAAAACUUAGGGAUAUGAUCCCUGGGUGAGAUGUGAGACAAGAACUAGGAGGGGAGAGACGGGAAAUUCCUUCGCUAGUAUGACCUACCUAAGUUAUUUAGUAUUUAGUUGGUCGGUUAGAGUAUAGGGAUAAUAUGUUGCAUGUCAAUUAACCCUUGUUUUGUGGCAGUAUUUGAAAAUGACUUCUGAGAAUGUUGAGAAUAGCAAUGGAGCACAGGAGACCGUUGAGUCACCAC
rnacentral:lncRNA from 1 species